UAUUUCCAACCUAUGAUUUGUGGUUUCUGUUCUCUAUAUUCUUUUUAAUAAAUUUACAUAUUAUUACACCUUGACCGUCUGAAUUGGAUUAAAUUUUGCAUCAGUUUAUGGAGGCACCGCUGGGAUACUGAUCGAUCCUUGAAGUAUAUUUGAUGCAUCGCAAGGCAAGAUAAAGAGAGGUGAGUUGCUCAUCUAAUUCUCUUUAUGGGCUUCUGUUGUGCAAACCUGCCGAGUCUAAGAGCUAUAUCUGCGGACCCAUUUCAUUCAUUUUUCUUGACUGCAGCAAGAGAACGAAUUUGGGGCGGUAUGGUGGUUUAACCGUGUGUGAGGAAUGAGCGCGCGCUCUGUGUUUGAGAACGGCGAUUUGCGGCAUUAAAUGUGUUGUUCACUGAAGGGGUUUACCGACAGUCUGGAUAAUUAUGCGUAGCAAGUACACUUUGCGGGGUUUACCGGAGGUUUAUUGCGGGCGCUUUCAGGGCUUACUGAUGCGCAACAGUUUUUGAGACACGCGCUGUCAGGGAUUACUGCAGCGUGCUGGUCAGAUCUGUAUGUCGAUUCUCUGUUUUGAUAUAGGCUCUGGGAUGGACUCGGCAGUCUUGACACUGGCAAUCCAUAUAUUUUGACAAUUGUUUGACUGUGGCAGAAUACCACAUUGUAACUAAGUUUAACUCUGUAUAAUUGUUAUAAUUGUCAGGAGGCUAAUUAAGUUAAACGAAUUAAGAGUAAAGAGAACACCACCAAAUUUAACAAUUUAAUUAAGUGAAUUUAAUUGAGUAUAUUCAAUUGAGUGUAUCUGAAUUGAAUAAAACUUUUUCUUUGUUGGGGGUGUCAACACACGAAGUAAUGGCUCAUAUGUAUGUAAAAGGAGCUCUUAACGAAGCUCUUACUGCUCAAGUAGCGAUGUUAGGCAUCGGAAAUAAAGAAAAUAUUAAACAGAAAAUGGUAAAGAUGAAUUUAAAGAAAUAUGGGGUCCGUAGGCAGUGUGAAUGGGGGUGAUGAAGGAAGAUAAUAAGAUAAUGAUCCUAAGAAACAAAAGAAAUAUGCACAAGUUUUGUGUUGUUUGAGGAUUGUGCGAGCAAAAGGUCUUUUAACAUAUCGCAAUUGAAGAAUAGUUUAUGUGGAUAAACUGGCACAAGCGGCUAGAGAUACUACGCAAGAUAUGUGGGAUUUAUUAGACAUUGUAACUAAGGAGCCAAGAGCAGAUACAGGGAGAGUCCCUAAAAUCGAUGAUAUUUUUAGCUGGCAGGAAUAUGCUUCAAAACUGAAAGCAGCGAUUGCCAAGGCAGGGAGACAUGUGACGAAUGUUUCUGAAGAUGGUGGUAUACAGGUUGCAGCUAUUUCUCCUGGGCACUUGGAGGAAACUGAGAAUGAGUGGGGCGAGUAUGUGAAACUGCGUCCAAAAUUACCCCGCUAUAGUGAAAUAGAUCAGGAAUUGACGGCGGCUGGUCAAGUGGGGGUUUAUCGAUCUAUGGGUGUGCGAGAUUUGACUAGUAUUGUAAAUAUACUGCCACUCAUGAAAUCUAACAGUACCAAUUCUGAAUUUUGGGAUCGUUUGUGGGUAAUGGCAAGAGCCAACCGCCUAGCAGUAAAAGAUAAAAGAUCUGUAUUCAAUUUGUGAGCAGGUCUGCCCGUCUACAUACACGGGACAGAUCGGUAAUCUCACCCCUCCUUUACAGCCAGCAGCGAAUGUAGAUGAUUACGCAACUCAGUACAGAGUGCUGCGUACUGAAGUACAGCGUGCAGUUGUAAAUGGAAUUCAAACUUUCACUAAUGUGACAAUGAUAAGGCAGGAUCCUAAUGAACCAUUUGUUGAUUACACUGAGCGAUUCACAAAGGCACUGAAAGAAUUUGUGGCAGCACGAUGGGGGCCUGACUUAGAUUCUCCAAUCAUGCUCCACACUGCGCAGUUAAAUAUGAAUGCUAAAUUUACACAGUUGUUUCAUUCUUCUCUGUCAACAAUUAUUGACUGGUCUUCUCUUGUUCCAUGGGUGACACGGGCUCAAGACAUCGUGGAACAACAAAAGAAGGUACUGGUUGCUGCAGUUGGUCAGACCUCUGCUCCAGCAUUUCGUUGUUAUCAUUGCCAGGGCAGCGCGAUGGUCACUACGCAAACAGGUGCCCUGAUCGAAAUUUAGAACGAAAUUUCAGAAAGCCUAGUUCCUCUUUUCAACAACAGCGGACACCAAAACCACUUCCUCGAGAUUGUGCUUAAAAUAACCCUGGUGCAAAGAAGCAGGGUGCUGACCUAGAAGCAGGUUGAAAAACUGACAAGAGCUUUUGAGAAUACAGACUGACAGAUAGUGGCCUCCAUUUUAUAUGAACACGAAGACCCUCGUCCAUUUUUACAGUCUAACCUAGGAAGCCAGGAUAGCUACAUUCUUGUGGGCCCCCGGGUCUGCAUCUCAGUAACUGUUAUUAAUUUGCCUUUAACAAACAAAUGCAUCUUCAAGGUAUAUCUGGUCGCAGUCUUUUCACACAGUCUCUAUUGAUUCCUCUAAUAAUAUAUCCAUUUGAACAGCCUUUUUGUGUGCAAUUCUGGGUUGGACAAAGCCAAGUUGGCAUUGUAAUGGGAAUGGAUAUACUGAGUAAAUUGGAAGCAGAUGUUUUGCUGACUAGGGGUCAAUUAAUUAGUCAGUAUUUACCAAUUCCCAUACCAGUGUUCAAUAAAACUGGAACUCCUGAAUUAAGCCUUGGAGCUAUCACAGCUAAUGAAAAGGAGUCUACUGAUUCCUCAAUGAUACAAUAUUUUUCUGAGAAAUUUCCAAAUUUGUGGUCGACUUCUAAACUUGAUGUUGGUCUUUGUAGGAUUGAACUUUGAAUGUUUCAGAUCCUAUACAUCCUCCAGUAUUCCAGUAUCCUCUUUGGAGAAGCAGAGUGAGCUGCACACAAAAUUCUGAACCAGCUUCAGGAAUCAGGGAUUUUGGUAAGGUGUACUUCCUCAAUGACUUUACCUAUGCAGCCUGUGAAAAAAUAAAUAAAAAAAAUUGCCAGAUGGUAGCUGUAGAUUAACUAUAGACUACACCACAUUGAAUGCUGUGACUCCUAAAAUAACUGCUAUUGUUGCUAAUCCGUCAACCAUUCUUAAUGACAUUUCUCCAAACCAUCGCUAUUUUAGUGCAGUAGACAUAACCAAUGGUUUUUGGUCUUGUCCUUUCAGAGAAGAAAUACAAUACAGAUUUGCGUUUCAAUAUUGUGACGACAUUCUUCUCGCAUCUCAAGACAAAGCACAACACUUGAGUGGACUCACUCAGUUGUUGAAAAUACUCCAAGAGGCGGGUUUCCUCUUGAACAAACAAAAGGUCCAAUUGUUUCAAUCGGAAGUUACAUUUUUAGGUCAAAGUAUAGGUCGUGAGGGAAAGAGACCUCUUCCAGACGGGUCAUAGCCAUCACUCAAUUAAAUAAGCCAACCACAGUUACUGGUUUAAGAUCAUUAAUGGGGCUAUUUAAUUUUAAUCGGAUGUAUAUCCCAGAUUUUUACGAUUUGGCUAAACCUCUAACAGAGGCUCUUAAAGGAGGCCUUCCGGGUGCUUCCCCUUUGGAGUGGACAGCAGACAUGGCUGAGUCCUUUACUCUCCUCAAAUCCACAUUAGCCUCCUCUCCCGCAUUAUAUCACCCCGACAUGACAAAGACAUUCCAUGUAUGGACACAUGCUGGCCCAAGUGCUUAUAACUGUGUGCUGGGACAAUGUAAGGUGACAAAAGUUAUGGCAUUGUUGGGUACUAUUCAACUUUGAUUCCCUCUUCCAUGAAUGGACAGAUGAAUGGAUAGAUGCCGUGUUUGAUGGCCUUGGACUGUGCUGAGUGGGCGUUGAAGGUCACUCAGAUGAUCCUUCACUCUCCACAUCGUUUUCUACGCCUGCUCUCAGAGACAAAAAUAAAGUCGAUUUCAAAUCAACGACGUGCAAAAUGGGAAACUGCUCUCAUGAACCCUCAGCUCACUGUUGUUGCAGACAACCGGACAAAUCCUGCAUCCCUAAUGGAGGAUGAGGGGAGUGCACAUGACUGCGCCGAGGUAAUUAUCUGUGACGGGACAUUUUGUCAGAGAUGAACUGUUUUCAGAAUCUCUGGCCAUGUUCGUGGAUGGCAGCAGUUUCUACUCUACGAGGGUGACACGUGCUAUGCGGGCUGGGCGGUAGUAGAGGGGAAGACGGGCGAGGUCUUGGCUGAGGGGUCACUUCGGGGAGGAAGUGCUCAGAUAGCUGAACUGCAUGCUUUAAAAGCUGCCUUAAAUCUGGCUCUUAAACUGACUGCAGGUGAAAAUAGCUCCACUAAUGUAAAUAUUUUUACUCAUAGUGCAUACAGCCACCAUGUAGUGCAGAGUUAUGGCCCUGUUUGGAAACGUCGUGGUUAAUUGACCACAGCGGGUACGCCAAUAAGUCAUCAAACCGUAAUUAAAGAAAUUCUUAACACGUGUGAGAAAAUUCCACCAAACUGUGUCGCGGUAUGUAAAGUCACAGGUCACAGUACAUUCAAUGAUUGGUUGGCGAAAGGAAACUCUCUAGAUGAUAAGGCUGCGAGAGAAGCUGCAAAGGGUGUGGCACUUGAAGAAGUAGCUGUUAUUUUCCCUGUUCAUCCUGACUGCACGGGUUCCAAAACUUUAUCUAAAUUGUACACAACUGAGGAUCGUGAAAUGUGUCAGAAAUUAGGAGCUACCUUAACUGAAGAAGGGGUUUAUGCUCUGAAUGACAAAGUUAUUCCGCCUAGCGGAUAUCAAACUGAACUAAUUGAUUUGUACCACAGCAUUGCACACCAAGGGGUUCAGAGAACACAUGUUAUGCUACAACAAACAUGGUUUUGGUCAGAGAUGUUACAAACUGUGAAGGAUAGACUGUCCAGAUGUAUCCACUGUUUGCAAACCGAAGCCAUAAUUUGGAAAAGGUAAAAUCCCAAUUGGUCACAGUCCUCGCCCGCGAGGACCAAUCACACAUUUACAAUUGGAUUUUAUUUUGUUACCUUCUGAUCAUGGGUACAAAUAUGUAUUAGUCCUCGUUUGUAAAUUUUCCAGAUGCUCUGAAAGGGUAUAUUGGAUUUUCAGUCCCUCUCAUUGCACCAUGGUUCGGGAAUGAUAGAUUUUCAUAAAAUAGGGGUAUCUUUACUGGGAUUGUUAUAAGCAAUGUCUGUAUUUGGUAUCUGUGAGGUGACUGAGGGUCUGACCUAUGUCAGGAAUGCAAAAACAGUGAUUAUUCAUUUAGCCCGGCUUCCAGAGAAUAAUACAUAUAUACGUUUAUUGCAAAGAUUUAUUUUACGAUAUAACAAAUUAACCAAAAUUCAUCAUGGUUGUAUAAGACAUAUAAAAAGGAAAAAUACAAAUAAGUCAAAUUUCUUUCUAAAAAGGUCUUUGGGUUUUAACUGUAC